rnacentral:rRNA from 1 species
UACGUAUGGUGCAAGCGUUGUCCGGAAUUAUUGGGCGUAAAGAGCUCGUAGGCGGUCUGUCGCGUCGGCUGUGAAAACUCGGGGCUCAACUCCGAGCUUGCAGUCGAUACGGGCAGGCUAGAGUUCGGCAGGGGAGACUGGAAUUCCUGGUGUAGCGGUGAAAUGCGCAGAUAUCAGGAGGAACACCGGUGGCGAAGGCGGGUCUCUGGGCCGAUACUGACGCUGAGGAGCGAAAGCGUGGGGAGCGAACAGG